rnacentral:rRNA from 1 species
CGGCGAUGUCCGAAUGGGGAAACCCAGUGCAAUUCGUUGCACUAUCGUUAACUGAAUACAUAGGUUAACGAGGCGAACCGGGGGAACUGAAACAUCUAAGUACCCCGAGGAAAAGAAAUCAACCGAGAUUCCCCCAGUAGCGGCGAGCGAACGGGGAGCAGCCCAGAGUCUGAAUCAGCUUGUGUGUUAGUGGAACGGUCUGGAAAGUCCGACGGUACAGGGUGAUAGUCCCGUACACCAAAAUGCACAGGCUGUGAACUCGAAGAGUAGGGCGGGACACGUGGUAUCCUGUCUGAAUAUGGGGGGACCAUCCUCCAAGGCUAAAUACUCCUGACUGACCGAUAGUGAACCAGUACCGUGAGGGAAAGGCGAAAAGAACCCCGGCGAGGGGAGUGAAAAAGAACCUGAAACCGUGUACGUACAAGCAGUGGGAGCACCUUCGGGUGUGACUGCGUACCUUUUGUAUAAUGGGUCAGCGACUUAUAUUCUGUAGCAAGGUUAACCGUAUAGGGGAGCCGCAGGGAAACCGAGUCUUAACUGGGCGUUAAGUUGCAGGGUAUAGACCCGAAACCCGGUGAUCUAGCCAUGGGCAGGUUGAAGGUUGGGUAACACUAACUGGAGGACCGAACCGACUAAUGUUGAAAAAUUAGCGGAUGACUUGUGGCUGGGGGUGAAAGGCCAAUCAAACCGGGAGAUAGCUGGUUCUCCCCGAAAGCUAUUUAGGUAGCGCCUCGUGAAUUCAUCUUCGGGGGUAGAGCACUGUUUCGGCUAGGGGGUCAUCCCGACUUACCAACCCGAUGCAAACUACGAAUACCGAAGAAUGUUAUCACGGGAGACACACGGCGGGUGCUAACGUCCGUCGUGAAGAGGGAAACAACCCAGACCGCCAGCUAAGGUCCCAAAGUCAUGGUUAAGUGGGAAACGAUGUGGGAAGGCACAGACAGCCAGGAUGUUGGCUUAGAAGCAGCCAUCAUUUAAAGAAAGCGUAAUAGCUCACUGGUCGAGUCGGCCUGCGCGGAAGAUGUAACGGGGCUAAACCAUGCACCGAAGCUGCGGCAGCGACACUAUGUGUUGUUGGGUAGGGGAGCGUUCUGUAAGCCUGCGAAGGUGACCUGUGAGGGUUGCUGGAGGUAUCAGAAGUGCGAAUGCUGACAUAAGUAACGAUAAAGCGGGUGAAAAGCCCGCUCGCCGGAAGACCAAGGGUUCCUGUCCAACGUUAAUCGGGGCAGGGUGAGUCGACCCCUAAGGCGAGGCCGAAAGGCGUAGUCGAUGGGAAACAGGUUAAUAUUCCUGUACUUGGUGUUACUGCGAAGGGGGGACGGAGAAGGCUAUGUUAGCCGGGCGACGGUUGUCCCGGUUUAAGCAUGUAGGCUGGUUAUCCAGGCAAAUCCGGAUAAUCAAGGCUGAGGUGUGAUGACGAGGCACUACGGUGCUGAAGUAACAAAUGCCCUGCUUCCAGGAAAAGCCUCUAAGCAUCAGGUAACAUCAAAUCGUACCCCAAACCGACACAGGUGGUCAGGUAGAGAAUACCAAGGCGCUUGAGAGAACUCGGGUGAAGGAACUAGGCAAAAUGGUGCCGUAACUUCGGGAGAAGGCACGCUGGUGUGUAGGUGAAGUCCCUGCGGAUGGAGCUGAGACCAGUCGAAGAUACCAGCUGGCUGCAACUGUUUAUUAAAAACACAGCACUGUGCAAACACGAAAGUGGACGUAUACGGUGUGACGCCUGCCCGGUGCCGGAAGGUUAAUUGAUGGGGUUAUCCGUAAGGAGAAGCUCUUGAUCGAAGCCCCGGUAAACGGCGGCCGUAACUAUAACGGUCCUAAGGUAGCGAAAUUCCUUGUCGGGUAAGUUCCGACCUGCACGAAUGGCGUAAUGAUGGCCAGGCUGUCUCCACCCGAGACUCAGUGAAAUUGAACUCGCUGUGAAGAUGCAGUGUACCCGCGGCAAGACGGAAAGACCCCGUGAACC